UACGGGGGGGGCAAGCGUUGUUCGGAAUUACUGGGCGUAAAGGGCGCGUAGGCGGCCUUCUAAGUCGGACGUGAAAUCCCUCGGCUCAACCGAGGAACUGCGUCUGAUACUGGAAGGCUUGAAUCCGGGAGAGGGAUGUGGAAUUCCAGGUGUAGCGGUGAAAUGCGUAGAUAUCAGAAAGAACACCAGUGGCGAAGGCGGUCCUCUGGUCCACUAUUGACGCUAAAGCACGAAAGCGUGGGGAGCAAACAGG
rnacentral:rRNA from 1 species